rnacentral:misc_RNA from 1 species
GAUGAAGAACGUAGCGAAAUGCGAUAAGUAAUGUGAAUUGCAGAAUUCAGUGAAUCAUCGAAUCUUUGAACGCACCUUGCGCUCCUUGGUAUUCCGAGGAGCAUGCCUGUUUGAGUGUCAUUAAUAUAUCAACCUCUUCAGCUUAUGCUUGUUGAGUGUUGGAUGGUGGGGGUUUGCUGGUGUCUUAUGAAGUCAGCUCCUCUGAAAUGCAUUAGCGGAACAAUUUGUUGACCGUUCAUUGGUGUGAUAAAAAUAUCUACGCUAUUGACGUCAGUCAGUUCAGCUUCUAACAGUCCAUUGACUUGGACAAAUUUUUCAUUAAUGUGACCUCAAAUCAGGUAGGACUACCCGCUGAACUUAAGCAUAUCAAUAAGCGGGGA